AACCUAAAUAAUAGGGAGCUCUAGCAAUGACGACAGCGACGGCAAGGAAAAUGGCACUUGAAAAUAAAUACUUGCGCAAUUGUGACUAUUUGCGAUUGUCCCAUCUUGUUUGCAUUCUAUAGUGUUGGU